GACGGAGGGUGCUAGCGUUGUUCGGAAUUACUGGGCGUAAAGGGCUCGUAGGCGGCCAACUAAGUCAGACGUGAAAUCCCUAGGCUCAACCUAGGAACUGCGUCUGAUACUGGAUGGCUUGAAUCCGGGAGAGGGAUGCAGAAUUCCAGGUGUAGCGGUGAAAUGCGUAGAUAUCUGGAGGAAUACCGGGUGGCGAAGGCGCAUCCUGGACCGGCAUUGACGCUGAGGAGCGAAAGCCAGGGGAGCAAAGCGGG
rnacentral:rRNA from 1 species